GACGAACGCUGGCGGCGUGCUUAACACAUGCAAGUCGAACGGAAAGGCCCUGCUCUUGUGGGGUGCUCGAGUGGCGAACGGGUGAGUAACACGCGGGUAACCUGCCCUUGACUUUGGGAUAACUUCAGGAAACUGGGGCUAAUACCGGAUAGGAGCUCCUGCUGCAUGGUGGGGGUUGGAAAGUUUCGGCGGUUGGGGAUGGACUCGCGGCUUAUCAGCUUGUUGGUGGGGUAGUGGCUUACCAAGGCUUUGACGGGUAGCCGGCCUGAGAGGGUGACCGGCCACAUUGGGACUGAGAUACGGCCCAGACUCCUACGGGAGGCAGCAGUGGGGAAUAUUGCACAAUGGGCGGAAGCCUGAUGCAGCAACGCCGCGUGCGGGAUGACGGCCUUCGGGUUGUAAACCGCUUUCGCCUGUGACGAAGCGUGAGUGACGGUAAUGGGUAAAGAAGCACCGGCUAACUACGUG
rnacentral:rRNA from 1 species